rnacentral:rRNA from 1 species
GGAGUUAGCCGGUGCUUCUUCUGCGAGUAACGUCACAGAUGUAAGGUAUUAACUUACACCCUUUCCUCCUCGCUGAAAGUGCUUUACAACCCGAAGGCCUUCUUCACACACGCGGCAUGGCUGCAUCAGGGUUUCCCCCAUUGUGCAAUAUUCCCCACUGCUGCCUCCCGUAGGAGUCUGGGCCGUGUCUCAGUCCCAGUGUGGCUGAUCAUCCUCUCAGACCAGCUAGGGAUCGUCGCCUAGGUGAGCCUUUACCUCACCUACUAGCUAAUCCCACCUGGGCUUAUCCAUCAGCGCAAGGCCCGAAGGUCCCCUGCUUUCCCCCGUAGGGCGUAUGCGGUAUUAGCAGUCGUUUCCAACUGUUAUCCCCCACAAAUGGGCAAAUUCCCAGGCAUUACUCACCCGUCCGCCGCUCGUCAUCUUCAAAAGCAAGCUUUUGAAAUGUUACCGCUCGACUUGCAUGUGUUAGGCCUGCCGCCAGCGUUCAAUCUGAGCCAGAAUACAAACUACUGA